UGGAGUCGAAUAAAUUUUACAUAUGACAGAUGAUGGAGUUUGACGAGUUAUCCAUGACCUCCAUCCUGUCGGGAUCCACGAUAGAGGGACUGUAUCAUACGCUUACUGCACCUAGAGGUUCAUCUAUUCCAUUCUGCUGGGUUGCCACUACAUGCUGCUAGGUGUCACUGGUGGAUUGUGAGACUCAGAGGCAUUCACUUAAUGAUCAGUGAAUCCGAAUGAGAAGAGUUGGAAUUAUUCCAACCCAUUGAAAGGAGUUUCAAUGAUAUUGUGAUAGGGAUCACAAUAUAUCUCACUACCAGACAGAAUAGAACCUAUGGGGUCACACACAAUAGAGGAUC
rnacentral:lncRNA from 1 species